rnacentral:lncRNA from 1 species
GGGAUAAGAAGGCAGAAGGGUGGAUGGAGAGAACACCUCCACCAGGAGGACCCCAGAUCUAAAUGAACAUCCCUGUAUGGUUUCCAAGCAGAGCCGCUGCCUCCUAGGCCUCUGCUUCCUCUGGCUGGGAAGCCUGGGGCCUGGGACUUGCUCCUUGGGCACCCUGAAAGGGAAGCUCUGACCAUUUGACCCAGUCUGGGUUUUCAGACUCAGCUUGACUUCUAGGAAUGGAUGGCACUGUUCUCUGGGCACAUCAUUAGCUCAUCCCAUUAAAGUCAAGGGAGGAGAAAGAGGAGGGACCCCUUGGUGGGGUGUCUAGCUACUUGUCUUACCUAUGGCCUAGACAAAGAGUGCUGCAGGAUUAUCCCAGUCAAGAGCCCUGGAAGGCCAGAGGCAGUCCAGAUACUGCAUUAUGCAUGAGCUGGGAUGCACACUGCCCCAGGAAACUGAAAAGAGGAAGAAGGGAUGACUCACAAAGCCCAGGGCCAGCAUAAGGGUGGGAUUCACAUUACCUGCCACAAUUGCCCCAUCUGGGCAAGGGGGGCCUUUAUUCUCCCCCCACCCCCACCCCCAAGCCUCAGACUGGAAUUGUAGGCUCUUAGCUACCUCCUUCUGGAACAGAAGAGAGGCCCAAUUGUGAGGGCGAGAGGAGCCCCAGGUGUGGCUCGCUUGGCACACAACUGGAUACCCACAUGGCUUUUUAACCCCAAGGCCCUGUUACUAAAGCCCUCCAAAUUCUUUACACAAAAGGAGCUGCUCCUCCCACAGCAUAAUCAUCUCCUCAUUAAUGACUCCCCCUUUUCUUGAGAAAGAUGGGUUGAUUCACCCAUUCCAUUCCCCCCAAUCCCAAUACAUGGCUCUAGGCCCUUUUCUUAGGACUCUAUUCAGGCCUAUUGGCACUCAGAAAAAAAAAAACUGGAAGGCCUUCUUCCUCUGUCUCCUCCCCCCCAGAUGUGGGGUGCCUCCACCACUUUCCAGGAAAUAGGGCCCCAACAAAGGGUGGCAAAGAAUUGGAAACCAGAGGAACACCCAAGAGUUGGGGAAUUAUGGCAUAGUAAUAUAAUGGUUUACUAUUACACUAUCAGAAAUGAUGAAAGGGAUGAUUUCAGAAAAACUUGGGAUGAUUUAUAUGAAUUGAUGCAGUGUGAGUAGAACUAGGAGAACAUCUUAUAUAACAGCAACAACUUCAUAAAGAAAAGUGCCUUUGAAAGACUCAAGAACUCAACAACACGACCAACCCCCAUUCCAGAGGACCAAUGAUGGAGGAUACUAUCUACUUCCUGCCUGAAAGAUGAUAGAUUCAAGGUACAGAAUGAGACAUAAAUUUUUUUGGACGUGGCCAAUGUUGCAAUUU